rnacentral:rRNA from 1 species
CAUAGCAAACUGCUCAGUAACACAUGAUCAACCUACCUAUGAUGGAUAAUAACCUCGGGAAACUGAGGAUAAUGAUCCAUAGCUGAUUCGGCUUGGAAAAGUGUUUCAGUGAAAUGGACAUAAAAAAUGGUCUAUGUCUGCUCAUAGGAUGGGAUUGUGGUCGAUUAUGUAAUUGGUGAAAUAAACGGCUCACCCAAGCCCGAUAAUCCGAUAGGGGCCCGUGAAAAGCGGGAGCCCUCGAAGAAUGGGUACUUAAACAGCGAACCAGGCCCUACGGGGCGCAACAGGUACGAAAACUCCGCAAUACACGCCAGUGUGACGGGGCUACCCAAAGUGCUCCAUAUAGGAGCUGUGGUAGGUGCGUAAUGUUCCCUACUAAAAAGGAAAGGGCAAGGCUGGUGCCAGCCGCCGCGGUAAAACCAGCUCUUCAAGUGGUCGGGAUAAUAAUGGGGCUUAAAGUGUCCGGAUAGCUGGUAACGGUAAGGUUCCAUGGAUAGAAACUUGGGACAGCUUACCUGUCCUUAUGCUAGGAAUACUGCUUGACUAGAGGGCGGGACAGGUCUGAGGUACUACAGGAGUAGGAGUGAAAUCUUAUAAUCCUUGUAGGACCACCAGUGGCGAAGGCGUCAGAACUGGAACGCGCCUGACGGUGAGGGACGAAAGCCAGGGGAGCGAACCGGAUUAGAUACCCGGGUAGUCCUGGCCGUAAACGAUGCACACUAGACGAUGGUGCGGCCAUGAGCCGUAUCAGUGUCGUAGGGAAACCGUUAAGUGUGCCGCCUGGGAAGUACGGUCGCAAGGCUUAAACUUAAAGGAAUUGGCGGGGGAGCACUACAAGGGGUGAAGCCUGCGGUUCAAUUGGACUCAACGCCGGGCAACUUACCAGGGGAGACAGCAGAAUGAAGGUCAGGUCGACGACCUUACUUAACAAGCUGAGAGGAGGUGCAUGGCCGUCGCCAGUUCGUGCUGUGAGGUAUCCUGUUAAGUCAGGCAACGAACGAGACCCGUGCCUUUAUUUGCCAUCAAGAAGUCACGACUUCGUUGGGAACGAUAAAGGGACUGCCGUCGAUAAGACGGAGGAAGGAGCGGGCAAAGGCAGGUCAGUAUGCCCCGAAACCCCUGGGCUACACGCGGGCUGCAAUGGUGCGAACAAUGGGCUGUGACUCCGACAGGAGAAACCAAUCCCGAAAUCGCAUCUCAGUUGGGAUUGUCAACUGUAACCCGUUGACAU